AGAGGUUGUGGUGAGCUGAGAUCGUGCCAUUGCACUCCAGCUUGGGCCAUUCCAACUCCAUCUCAAAAUAAUAAUAAUAAUAAAAAAACAUUAAUUAUGUUCCAGUAAUUUAUCUCUAAUUGCAAUAACUUUAAGUUUCACCUUUUUUACUUGCCUCAUAAAAUGAGAUAUACCAACCAUUGAGAAGCCUUGAAUAUAUAUUCAUGUGUAUUAUGCUGUAAAGAAAACCAUUUGAUACUGUACCUAACAGACAGUCAUUCUAGCAACAGCUAAGUAGGGAAUCCUUGAAUAGAGUCCUAGAAUAUUCAUUUACUUGUUUAUUUCUAUAAUUUGACUGUCCAUUUGUGCAACAAAUAGUUAUUGAACAUUCACUCUGUGCCAGAGCCUGGGGAUACAGGAGGGGAUAUUCUAAACAAAGUCAAUCCUUUCUUAUGGCUUCCCUAGUUUCUAUAGAUUCUAGUAUUAAAGGCUGGACAAAUAAAUAGAUUUAUCAAAGGCAAGGUAGGUAAGUGCUCUGGAGGCAAUGGAAAAUAGAUUAAGAGCAUUAAGUGGGAUAAGAAGAGACAGAGGUGGGAGAAAAGCAUUGCGGUAGGGUGACAUUUCAGCAGAGACUUCAAGGUUGCUAGGGGAAGUCACAUGCUGUUAUGUGAGAAAGCACUCCAGGUACAGAGAGCAGAGGCCAAAGUCCUCCAGCCUGACAUUGGUUGGGGAUUCCUGGGACAGCGGGGAAGCCGGAUUAUCUUAAGCAAGUGAAAGAGGAAGAUGGAGGUGGGAAACCAUGUCAGACAGGAGGUUAGGUGAUGGGCAACUUUGAAGGCCAUUGUAAGGACUUGGCUUUCAUUCUGAGUAAGAUUAAGGAUCCAUUGGAGAGUUUUGAGCAAAGAUUAUGUGAAUUAGAAUACAGAAGUACUUAGAUUUUUACUUUUAAUAUACUUAUUAAGAGAAAUGGGAAAACAAAUUCCUGGGCUCCAUGAAAUACUCGUCCACUCUAUCAGUCAAUGGUAGAUUCUGUCUUGCAGUUCUCCAGGCCCUCUGAACAGCUAUCUAAUGUCCUAAAGUAUUCAUAGAAACAAUAAAAGAUAAGAGAGUAAGAGAAAAGAAGAAAAUAAUUUUAAAAAUUUAAAAAUGUGUUAUUAUUGUUAUUAUUGCCUUAGGACAGGUAAAAGAGGUAAGAGAUCAAGGAGAUAACUCUUGGACAAGUAGAUCUCAUUACAACUUUUAGUACAGUCACAGAUGCUUUACAUGAUCAACUGAAGCAGACUUAGUGUUGCUUUUAAGGAGGACAGCAGGCACAGUCUUAUCAAGUUCUGAAUUUCCUCACUUGGUCAAGCAGUUGCUGUGUGACUUUGAAAGAGUUAUUAAUACAUUAGUAAUCUGUGUUUGUUUCCUCAUCUGUGAAAUUCAGUAAAUCCAUCUUACAUGCUGGUUGUGAGGGGUAGUGACCUGGCAAAUAGUAAUCACAGGCAAGUGUUUGUUGUCAUUGAUAACAAGAUUGGAUUUCUAAGAAGAUGGUGUUGAUUGCAAGAUGGUGUUUAUCAAGAUAUCUUGAUAAGAUAGUUUUUAUUGUGAGAUGCAUUAUUAAGUUGAGCUUUGCUUUAAGCAUAAGAGACUGCAUUAAGUGCACUAAUUGACUUUUAAAUCUAUUUAAUUUUCAGAAAUGUCAAAUAUGAAUAAAAAUAUGAAAUGAAUGGAGGGUUUAUGAUCAGGGAUAUUCUAUGUUACACAUUUACUGCUUUAUCAUUUAAAAUAAGCCCCCAAAUUGAAAGUGAGUCAACAUUUGACAUAUCAGUAUUUUCCAAGGAAUAAUUUGUGUAGCCAGUUUUCAAAACUAGAGGCUAUAAACUACUCUGAUUUUUAAAUGAUAUUGAUAAACAAGGAGACAUUUCAUUUUUUAAAUGACUAAUGUGAUUAUCAAAAUAAAAGAAUAAAAAAUAUAAGACUUGAUUUGACUAAUGGGUAAAACAUGAAUGCCACUAGGUAAGACUAUUUCUAUCAUGACAUUACCUUAAAUUAGAAAUCACUAAUUAUGUAUGCAUGUGCCAAAAUAUAACUACUCUAGCAAGUGAUGAAUUUGCAUAUACAAUGAUUUUAAUCAAGGCACUUCUUUGAUUGUACAAUUAUCUGUUUUGCAUACACAAAAUCUGAAUUCUGUACAUGUGAGUCCUCAUUUGUAUAUGCACCAAAUUAUUUUGUUGGUGCAACUUAGAAAUCUCUACUUGAUAUAUUAGGGCAUUAUUUCUCUUCCAUUUAUAGUAAUAUGUUUUCAGUUUUUAUUAAGUAGUAAAACCAAACUCCCUGGAAAAACAUGGGAGGUGGGCCCUGCCUCUAGUCAUAAUAGAGGGAAAUGCCACUGUAUUUCUAUUCUGUGUUAAGAAAAAGCAAAAAGUUUCUUCUACACACCGUUUGUUCCUUUCUGCCUUCUUAUUUGGAAUGUAUCUCAAAAUUUAAAGAAGACUUUGGUUCACAGAGAGAACCCUUGAGUGGUAAUCAUAUUGAGUUCACUCAAUUUUCCACAUUGUUAGUCUGUAAAUGAUGAGAGUAGGGUGUUGAUCCUUACUACUCUUAAGCAACAGAGAAAAUUUAGAGGUGGUGGAAAGUACCAAAUUUAUAGUCCUAGAGACAAAUAUUCUCUGUAGAGUUCCUGAAAAAAGAAAUAGCCGGAAAAGCAGUGAGGCAAAACUCGUUAUUUCAUUAUGGUCUUGCUGGACAACUGAGACUCCCCUUGGCCCUCAGCGAGAGCAGUGUGCUACAUACAGUAAUCUGGGCACAUUGAUGACCGCAGUGUAAAGCUCUUAGUAAGUGGGAUGUUUGUUUUGUAGUUAAGUCAUCCUGACAGGCCCAUUGGGUCAUAAACCUGCUUACAAUGCAAAGUUAUUCACAACCUCAAAAUGAGACUUCUGUACAUUACAGAUAGGUCAUUGGUAACAGCAGAAGUCUUAGCUUUUUAAUCAUUCAAAUCAAGAUCUUUUCUGCAUAUUUGGGUUUGGUCUUGAGGAUUCAACUGAGAUAAAAUUGUCUCAUAUCAGUAGAUACAAAAUUACCACGGUCCUUCUGUUGUCUACCUGCCUGCAGAUGUGUCCUUGCAAGAAUGGGAUCCUAUGUUAGGUCAAGAGUAGAAUUCUAGCUUGUAAAUUUUCAGUUUUGCUACCUUUGCUGUGACUCUAGGGUAAUUUGAUAAUCAGGCUAUAAAGAGAUCCUUUCAAAGUCUCUGAAUUUUCGAACUUUGAACCUUGCUUUUACGUAACACUGAAUUUUCUAUAAUGCAUUUCUUCUUGGCUACAUAGAUGACCCACUGUUAUUGGAAUAAGCCCAGGUCAAAUUUGUCUAUGAUGUCUCUUCAACAAUAUUUUGUAGUCUGUUUUCUUCCAGUCUUCACUUUCAAUCUCCUCAGGGAGGGAAUAUAUAGUAAUGAAACUAUAUUACAGUAAUUAGAGUCAGCCACAUUGAGACAGCCAAGCAAAAAGGGCUUCCUGGAGAACCUCUGACCAACCUGCACACUGGGAGAAUGGGGUGGAGCCAUGGAAAUUCCUGUCAUUUGCAGAGGGGAGGAGCCUGGUCUCUUAAGUUCCUGUGUGAUGGGGCGGGAGCUGGUUAAUCGGCUUCCCUCUUGCUCAGCUGAAAGUUUUUCUCUUUUUCCUUUUUUACCCAAUAAAUUGUUAUUCUCACCCUUCUAUGUGUCCACGAACCUAAUCUUUCCUGGCCAUGUGACAAGAACCUGGUUUUAGCUGAACUGAGAAGAAAGCCCUGCAACAACAUCUGGUGUGAUAGACUGAACCAUGCCUCCAGGUAUAUUUCAAUGUUUCACUUUCAUCAUAAGAGAACUCUCCCAGUCAACAUGUUCUUAACAGUCUCUGGGGAGCUACUCUGCCACAUGAAUCCCAUUCAGCAUCUGUAUCUGGCCCUAGCAGUUCCCCGAGAAGACAGAUACUUGAGAAGAGGGGAGUCUGGCACAAGGAUGAGAAAAGCCAAAGAAGCAUCACAACUACAUCAGCAAUUGGCUUUGCCAAAUACCCUAGAUGAGAAGAGUUGAGAACAUGAGCUAUGGCAGUGACACUGCAGAGGAGAGGACAGAUGGAAGUGAUAUUAGGAAGGUCCUCCACAUAACAGAAGAUGAUGAAUAUUCAGAAGAGCACAGCCCUAAUGUUGAAAUUGCAGAGAAAGAAAAGUGCACACAUUUCAGAGCAUAAAAGGAUACCGAUACCUACAUUUAUCUAGACUGUAAGUCCCAUGAAGGUAAGAACUAUGCCAAAUUGUUCUUUAAUCUAUUAAUUAACCUACUUUUCAAUGCUAGGCCGGUAAAUAAGAUAGUCUGAUAACCAUAUUUAUCCUCAGCUGGUAUCUUGGGAGGAUUGUAUUCCAUAACAUUCUUUAUGUAAGAGCUGUAUCAUCUGAACUGAUUCCUUCCAAUAUUAAACCAUACCAAAUAAAAUAUUAAGCCCUUUCUUACAACAGAGUAUUUCAAGUUUCACUGUAUUUCUCAUCAAUUUUUACAUUAUUUCUUUUAUUUCAAUUAGCUCCUUUCUACCUCCUGUAGUUUUCAAGUUUGACCUUUCAACAUCAAUUUGAAGGUUAUGACCUAGGCCCACAUUGAGAUAACUCUUUUUCACUAUUUUGACACAAUUAAAACAGGUUCUGGCUUCAGAAAAAAAAAUCAACAUAAUAUAUGUUAGCUCUUCAUUUCCUUAGAGUUUUUGAGAUUCAAGUGAUGACAUAGAACUUUAUCGUCAGCUACAUCAGCAGUUAGCUUUGCCAAGUGAGGUUGCUAGCUCUUCUAAAUGCAAAUUGAAAGAGAGGAGAAAAAAAAAAAAAAGAGCAAAGCAUUAGUAGGCAAGGAAAUGAUAUGGUACUUGGCCAACGAGGUAAUAGCCUUUAUUGCAAGCCAG
rnacentral:lncRNA from 10 species